UCGAGAGGCUUCGGCAAUGGGGGAAACCCUGACCGAGCGACGUCGCGUGGGUGAUGAAGAUCUUCGGAUCGUAAAACCCUGUCAGGUGGGAUGAAUGUCACAUGGUGAACAACCACGUGGCUUGACAGUACCACCAGAGGAAGCUCCGGCCAACUCCGUGCCAGCAGCCGCGGUAACACGGGGGGAGCGAGCGUUGUUCGGAAUCAUUGGGCGUAAAGAGCUCGUAGGUGGCUCCGUAAGUCGAUGGUGAAAGGCCAUGGCUCAACCAUGGAUAUACCUUUGAAACUGCGGAACUUGAGAUCGGGAGAGGAGAGUGGAAUUCCUGGAGUAGCGGUGAAAUGCGUAGAUAUCAGGAGGAACACCAGUGGCGAAGGCGGCUUUCUGGCCCGAUUCUGACGCUGAGGAGCGAAAGCCAGGGGAGCGAACGGGAUUAGAUACCCCGGUAGUCCUGGCCCUAAACGAUGGGCACUAGGUGUGGGAAGUUCGACCCUUUCCGUGCCGCAGUUAACGCAUUAAGUGCCCCGCCUGGGAAGUACGGCCGCAAGGUUG
rnacentral:rRNA from 1 species